rnacentral:rRNA from 1 species
CCUACGGGAGGCUGCAGUAGGGGAUCUUCCACAAUGGGCGAAAGCCUGAUGGAGCAACGCCGCGUGGGUGAAGGAGUUCUUCGGAUCGUAAAACCCUGUUGUUAGAGAAGAAAGAGCGCGAGAGUAACUGUUCACGUUUCGACGGUAUCUAACCAGAAAGCCACGGCUAACUACGUGCCAGCAGCCGCGGUAAUAUGUAGGUGGCAAGCGUUAUCCGGAUUGAUUGGGCGUAAGGGGAACGCAGGCGGUCAUUUAAGUCAGAUGUGAAAGCCUUCGGCUUAACCGGGGUAGUGCAUUGGAAACUGGGAGACUUGAGUGCAGAAGAGGCGAGUGGAACUCCAUGUGUAGCGGUGAAAUGCGUAGAUAUAUGGAAGAACACCAGCGGCGAAGGCGGCUCUCUGGUCUGUAACUGACGCUGAGGUUCGAAAGCGUGGGUAGCAAACAGGAUUAGAUACCCGGGUAGUC